AUACUUGCCUGACAAGGGAGACAGCAUGAUCAGGAAGAUGGUUUUCUCGGGGUGUUUAAUCUGUUGAAGUGUGGGUGUGCUUGACCCUUAAGGUUUACCCAGAAGUAGGAAACAUGACUACAUAAUUUUGGGGUGGGGAGCACAUUCACGCUCCCC
rnacentral:snRNA from 13 species